GACGAACCGUACGAACGUUAUUCGGAAUCACUGGGCUUAAAGGGUGCGUAGGCGGCGCGGAAAGUUGGGUGUGAAAUCCCUCGGCUCAACCGAGGAACUGCGUCCAAAACUGCCGUGCUCGAGGGAGACAGAGGUGAGCGGAACUUAGGGUGGAGCGGUGAAAUGCGUUGAUAUCCUAAGGAACACCGGUGGCGAAAGCGGCUCACUGGGUCUCUUCUGACGCUGAGGCACGAAAGCCAGGGGAGCGAACGGG
rnacentral:rRNA from 1 species